UACGUAGGGGGCAAGCGUUGUCCGGAAUCAUUGGGCGUAAAGCGCGUGUAGGCGGCCACGUUAGUCCGCUCUGAAAGCCCGGGGCUCAACCCCGGGAGGCGGGUGGAUACUGCGUGGCUCGAGUCCGGAAGAGGCGAGUGGAAUUCCUGGUGUAGCGGUGAAAUGCGCAGAUAUCAGGAGGAACACCAAUGGCGAAGGCAGCUCGCUGGGAUGUGACUGACGCUGAGACGCGAAAGCGUGGGGAGCAAACAGG
rnacentral:rRNA from 1 species